CCCUUAGAUGUCCGGGGCCGCACGCGCGCUACACUGAAGGAAUCAGCGUGGCUUUCUCCCUGACCCGAAAGGGUUGGGAAACCCGUUGAAUCUCCUUCGUGAUAGGGAUUGGGGCUUGAAGUUGUUCCCCAUGAACGAGGAAUUCCCAGUAAGCGCGAGUCAUAAGCUCGCGUUGAUUACGUCCCUGCCCUUUGUACACACCGCCCGUCGCUACUACCGAUUGAACGGUUUAGUGAGGGCCUCAGAUUGGUCUCGGCCCGCUCUUUACCGGGCGGCGCCGUUGGUCGAGAAGACGCUCGAACUUGAUCGUUUAGAGGAAGUAAAAGUCGUAACA
rnacentral:rRNA from 1 species